rnacentral:rRNA from 1 species
GUCUACUGCCAUAUCACCCUGAAUGUGCCCAAUCUCAUGUGCUCUCGAAGCUAAGCAGGGUCGGGCCUGGUUAGUAUUUGGAUAGGAGACUAGACAGAACUUUGAAGAUU